CGGACGGGUGAGUAACGCGUGGAAAACCUGCCGUAUACUGGGGGAUAACACUUAGGAAUAGGUGCUAAUACCGCAUAAGCGCACAGCUUCGCAUGAAGCGGUGUGAAAAACUCUGGUGGUAUACGAUGGUUCCGCGUCUGAUUAGCUAGUUGGUGGGGUAAUGGCCUACCAAGGCAACGAUCAGUAGCCGGCCUGAGAGGGUGAACGGCCACAUUGGGACUGAGACACGGCCCAAACUCCUACGGGAGGCAGCAG
rnacentral:rRNA from 1 species